rnacentral:rRNA from 1 species
CCUACGGGGGGCAGCAGUGGGGAAUCUUGGACAAUGGGCGAAAGCCUGAUCCAGCCAUGCCGCGUGUGUGAAGAAGGCCUUCGGGUUGUAAAGCACUUUCAGUGGGGAAGAAAGCCUUGGGGCUAAUACCCUCGAGGAAGGACAUCACCCACAGAAGAAGCACCGGCUAACUCCGUGCCAGCAGCCGCGGUAAUACGGAGGGUGCGAGCGUUAAUCGGAAUUACUGGGCGUAAAGCGCGCGUAGGCGGUCUGAUAAGCCGGUUGUGAAAGCCCCGGGCUCAACCUGGGAACGGCAUCCGGAACUGUCAGGCUAGAGUGCAGGAGAGGAAGGUAGAAUUCCCGGUGUAGCGGUGAAAUGCGUAGAGAUCGGGAGGAAUACCAGUGGCGAAGGCGGCCUUCUGGACUGACACUGACGCUGAGGUGCGAAAGCGUGGGUAGCAAACAGGAUUAGAUACCCCUGUAGUC